UACGUAGGGUGCAAGCGUUGUCCGGAAUUAUUGGGCGUAAAGAGCUCGUAGGCGGUCUGUCGCGUCGGCUGUGAAAACUUGGGGCUCAACCCCAAGCCUGCAGUCGAUACGGGCAGACUAGAGUGCGGUAGGGGAGACUGGAAUUCCUGGUGUAGCGGUGAAAUGCGCAGAUAUCAGGAGGAACACCGAUGGCGAAGGCAGGUCUCUGGGCAAUUACUGACACUGAGAAGCGAAAGCAUGGGGAGCGAACAGG
rnacentral:rRNA from 1 species